GCCAGGGCCUGCCUUAAGGAAAUGGAGACCCGGGAUGUGUCUCCACGCAGACACAAGGCCCCUUGCGGCUGUCCUACAACCACAGGGGUUGGGUGCAGCCUAGCAGCCUGGACUCUGGUAGCAGCUCGGCAGCCUCAGAACUACACCAAGACCCAGAAUCCCCAGGAAGCCACCCUUACACUCUGAAACUGCAGCAGUGAACAGGAUGCCACUUGGAACUGUCUCUACCUGGUGAUGGUGAACCCUGUGGCCCAGGCACAAAGGCAGAGUCCUAUUCCAGGUCCCCCUUGUGCUCCCUUCCUGGAAGCUCUGCACAAGGUAGAAACACACCCAACCCUUGGGGAUUUCAUGGAUUCCAAGUGGGCACCCCCAAACCCUCAGCCAUUAAACCCUUGAGGCUCUAUGCGGCAAACCACCAGUGGAGAAAACAGAAUAGCUUCAGCUUGCUCUCCCCACAGUCCCUCGCAGUUGCUGUUAACUGGUGGCCAACACUUGAUCGCUGGGAGCUUGGCCAUAAAGAGCCAGGUUGACAGAACUCCCACUACAGCCAGGAGCCAGUGAUGUCAGUUUGUGUUCCCAAUGGCCCUGUUCUGCUGGGGACAGGCCUCUUCCGCACAAAUAUGUUCCCCACCAGCCAACCCUCUCUUCCAGCCCAGUGCACCCCUGACGACGAGGCCCUUCCCCGUGACUUAGCAUCUUAGCGUCACUGUCCCUCAGCUCUCCACUUUUGCCAUAAAGAGUCAUGUCUGGAGUAGUUAGUACAUGCUUGACAAAAAUAUGAGCCCACAGCUCUCACAGGCCGGGCCAACACAGCCUUCUGCCUUCUUCCUCCCUGUCACCUCUCUCUCUCUGAACGUUCACAGACCUCUUCCCUCCCUCCUCCAGCUCCAUAUUCUUUUAUUUAUUUAUUUAUUUAUUUAUUUAUUUAUUUAUUUAUUUAUUUAUUUAUUUUUGGUUGGUUUGUUUGAGACAAGGUUUCUCUACAUGGCUCUGGCUGUGGUUGUCCUGGCACUCACUGUGUAGACCAUACUGGCCUCAAACCCACAGAGAUCCCCCCACCCACCUCCGCGCCACUGCCUCUUGAGUGUUGGAAUUAAAGGUGCGUACCACUA